GUCAGGGCAGCAGGGCGUUACUGCGAGUCAGGAUAGCGAUAUAUUUCAGGAUGCAGCGAUGGGGGUCGCUUCAGCCCAUGGCUUUGACAAUUUAGUACUUCUGAGAAUGGGCAAGCUGACCGUGGCAUCUUCAUCUUAAUUGACAAGACAAUGGCUUUCUUUAAAGGUGGAAUUCCUGUGUCUCCACAAUCUGCUAUAUUCAACAAAUCACUUAAAACCUCAUUCUGGAGGUUGCAAAGUGGGAUGGAGUAUGGCUCACACUAGUCCCAGACAUCAUUCUCUUCUUUCACAUGCCAAAGCUGCAGCAUAAAAAGCUCUCACUGGAGGAUCCUGCAACUUAGCUUCACUAAAGCAAUUACCAUGCAGGUGAAGAAACACCUUCAUGCCAGAUUAGCCUGGUGACUCCCAGAGGCACAAUAUCACCGGAAUAAAAUCCAAGGACCUAUGAUUUAUAUGUAAAACUCAG